AGCAGCCGCGGUAAUUCCAGCUCCAAUAGCGUAUAUUAAAGUUGUUGCAGUUAAAAAGCUCGUAGUUGAAUUUCGGGGUUCUUCCGUUGGUCAGGCUAACAAGUCUGUACUAGCGUGUAGAAUUCCUACCUUCUGGGGAACCAUCAUGUUAUUAAUUUAGCGUAGUGGGAAACCAGGACCUUUACCUUGAAAAAUUAGAGUGUUCAAAGCAGGCUUACGUCUGAAUACACUAGCAUGGAAUAAUAAAAUAGGACGGUGGUCCUGUUUUGUUGGUUUCUGAAUCACCGUAAUGAUUAAUAGGGAUAGUUGGGGGCAUUAGUAUUCAAUUGUCAGAGUGAAAUUCUUGGAUUUAUUGAAGACUAACUUCUGCGAAAGCAUUUGCCAAGGAUGUUUUCAUUAAUCAAGAACGAAAGUUAGGGGAUCGAAGACGAUCAGAUACCGUCGUAGUCUUAACCAUAAACUAUGCCGACUA
rnacentral:rRNA from 1 species